rnacentral:lncRNA from 1 species
CCCUCGGAUGUCGUUCUAUCUCAUUCGGCACAUGUACGUGUUUGGGAAGUCAAGUCUUUGUGUACCCAUGCUAUAAUUGGUCUUGAUUGCUUUGAAGUUGGAAUAUCUGCACUUAGUUUUUCAAAUGAGAAUGAUGGCAAAUGGUUAUUAAUAGUGGACAAUAGUAAACACCACAUCAUAAGUGUUUGGGACUGGAACGAAGAUUUGUUGCUGGCUCAAAACGAGGAAUAUGAAAUAAUAAUUGCUAGAACAGACGAUGUUGAGGUAGAAUGAUUGCUGUGCCAUAGGUCUAUACUAGCAUGUUGCAUUAGUUUGAGCCAACUGAUGAAUAAUUGACUGAUGAGAGACUGACUGGCUAAUUAACUGACUAUGAUUAGCUGAGUGGUUUUUGACUAAUUGACUGACUAAUUGGCUGGCUGCGUGAAUGACUGAUUGUCUGAGUGACAGUGAGUGAGUGAGUGACUGACUUAUUGUCUAAUUGGCUGACUGGCUGGCUGAGCGAGUGAGUGAGUGAGUGAGUGACUGACUGACAAACUGUCUGGAUGACUAGUUGACCGAAUGACAAGUUGAAUGACUGACUGUCUAAGUAACUGACUGACUAAUUGACUAACUGAAUGACUGGAUGAGCGAAUGGUGCUGACUAGUUGAGUGACGAACUGACUAGAUGAGUGACUGCUGUCUGAGGGAGUGAGCGAGUGACUGGUUAAUUGCCUCACUGACUGGCUGCUGAGUGUGUGACUGACUGACUGACUAAGUUGACUGACCAAAUGGCUACUUGACUGACUGACAGACCGACCGACCGUGUAACUGACUGACUAGUUGAUUGGCAGAAUGACUAGUUGACUGACUGACCGUGUAACUGACUGACAAGUUGACUGACAGAAUGACUAGUUGACUGACUGACCGUGUACAGACAGACAAGAAUACUCACUCGUUCAUUAAUUGAUACUGAUUGACAUAAUACUGACUAACCGACUUCCAAAGAAAUUGGGUAGUGGUGACUUAUUAAUUGAUACGCCUGUAUUCAUUGACUGAUUGACUGUUUAAAACAUUGUAUUCUUCAGAAUAUUUCUUUCAUCAAAUGUGUAUGCUGUGAUAGAAAAAAAAGAUAAAUACAAAAGCAUUUCAUAGAAACAAUGUAGAGCACUUGCACUGACUUACUUAACCCUACUAACAUUAUAUAUAUAUACCGCCCUGUA